AAUUCUCAACUACACUGGCUCUGAUCAGUGUGGCUUGGAUUUGGGGGGUUCAUUGUGGGCUUUUAAUUUUUUCAAGUCUGCUCCUCUGAAAUUAAUUAGCAGUGGAACUGUCUACAGAUGUGAUAAUUAUCUACAUCCUAGACAUCUUCUGGAGUCUGCUUUCUAAACCUUACUUUGUAAUUGACAA
rnacentral:misc_RNA from 1 species